GAGUGAGUGACAGCUGCCCCUACUGCCAGCCUGGAAGGAGCACAAACAAAAGAAUGGCUGAAGAAUGGCCUGAAUGGAGAGGAGAUAAAACCACUUAGCAGGGGAGGCAGUCCAGUGAGCAACCAGGUUCCAGGGGUCUCCUCUGCACCCCUGAG